UAGCAUGGAGACCACGGAUGGAUGGAUGCAUU
rnacentral:piRNA from 1 species